rnacentral:tRNA from 5 species
GGGCCUGUAGCUCAGCUGGCUAGAGCACCUGCUUUGCAAGCAGGGGGUCAAGGGUUCGAAUCCCUUCAGGUCCACCA